GAUGAACGCUGACAGAAUGCUUAACACAUGCAAGUCUUUGGCGAAGCUGUGCUUGCACAGCCUAGCCAAGGCGGACGGGUGAGUAACGCGUAAGGAACUUGCCCUGCAGUCAGGGAUAACAGACGGAAACGACUGAUAAGACCUGGUAAAGUCAGGCGGACUCAUGUCCAGCCUGAUGAAAAGAGAUGCUGCAGGAGAGCCUUGCGUCCUAUUAGCUUGUUGGUGGGGUAACGGCCCACCAAGGCGAUGAUAGGUAGCCGGCCUGAGAGGGUGACGGCCACAAGGGGACUGAGAUACGGCCCUUACUCCUACGGGAGGCAGCAGUGGGGAAUAUUGGACAAUGGGGGCAACCCUGAUCCAGCAAUUCUGUGUGCACGAUGAAGGUUUUCGGAUUGUAAAGUGCUUUCAGCAGGGAAGAAAAAAUGACGGUACCUGCAGAAGAAGCGACGGCUAAAUACGUG
rnacentral:rRNA from 1 species